rnacentral:rRNA from 1 species
UACGUAGGUGGCAAGCGUUGUCCGGAUUUACUGGGCGUAAAGGGCGCGUAGGCGGGAUGGCAAGUCGGUCGUGAAAUCCUUCGGCUCAACCGAAGAACGUCGAUCGAUACUGCUGUUCUUGAGGGUUGCAGAGGAGACUGGAAUUCCCGGUGUAGCGGUGAAAUGUGUAGAGAUCGGGAGGAACACCGGUGGCGAAGGCGGGUCUCUGGGCAAUUCCUGACGCUGAGGCGCGAAAGCGUGGGGAGCAAACGGG